rnacentral:lncRNA from 1 species
UAACUUAAUAGUACAUACGAGGUUCCAGUAUUACAGGCACAAGUACAUGCAAACUAACUUCAUAAGAGUACAAAAUCAAGGAACUAAAUGAAGUAGAUAUAAACACAGAUACUGAGAUACAUCCCUCAAUAUCUUUUCUCAGCGUUUCUCCUCACAUUUCAAUUGUACUAAGCACACACACAGUGUGACAGUAGCACAGCUUCCAAGUCCAUGAGGCUGAAAUCAAGGCCAUAAUCAACCUAUACUGAAUAGUCAUAUGAUAGCAGGAAACAAUAACAAAGAAUUGAUAUAGCACUCCAGAUUCUAGAAUGGCAAAUGAUGUUGCAUUGGCAUUACAAUGAGUUGGAUUGCAU